rnacentral:rRNA from 1 species
GACGAACGCUGGCGGCGUGCCUAAUACAUGCAAGUAGAGCGCUGAAGAGAGGAGCUUGCUCUUCUUGGAUGAGUUGCGAACGGGUGAGUAACGCGUAGGUAACCUGCCUGGUAGCGGGGGAUAACUAUUGGAAACGAUAGCUAAUACCGCAUAAAAUGGAUUAUCGCAUGAUAAUCCAUUGAAAGGUGCAAAUGCAUCACUACCAGAUGGACCUGCGUUGUAUUAGCUAGUUGGUGGGGUAACGGCUCACCAAGGCGACGAUACAUAGCCGACCUGAGAGGGUGAACGGCCACACUGGGACUGAGACACGGCCCAGACUCCUACGGGAGGCAGCAGUAGGGAAUCUUCGGCAAUGGACGGAAGUCUGACCGAGCAACGCCGCGUGAGUGAAGAAGGUUUUCGGAUCGUAAAGCUCUGUUGUAAGAGAAGAACGAGUGUGAGAGUGGAAAGUUCACACUGUGACGGUAUCUUACCAGAAAGGGACGGCUAACUACGUG